rnacentral:misc_RNA from 1 species
GAAGUGCGAUAAGCAAUGCGAAUUGCAGAAUUCCGCGAAUCAUCAGAUCUUUGAACGCAAAUGGCGCCAGAGGGAUAUCCUUCCGGCAUGUCUGUUUCAGUGUCUGAGAGGUUUCACCAUUAUCUUAAUGUGAUUGAUGGAAUUAUGGGAGACUAACCUCCCCCAUAACAACAUCUCUCAUGAAAGAUGUUCGAGUGGAUCUUUGGGUCCAAUGAAGUGGUCACAUCACUCGCAUGUGAUUUCAUUGGGAUCACCUAAUUAUCCGCAUGCUCGAAGUACUCUCACGUGAUAUAUAGCCCUCACCGGCUGUUAUCACCACUCCAUACCCUGCAUCUGAGACAGGCAAGAUCACCCGCUGAACUUAA